CCUACGGGAGGCAGCAGUGAGGAAUAUUGGUCAAUGGACGCAAGUCUGAACCAGCCAUGCCGCGUGCAGGAUGACGGCUCUAUGAGUUGUAAACUGCUUUUGUACGAGGGUAAACCCCGAUACGUGUAUCGGGUUGAAAGUAACGUACGAAUAAGGAUCGGCUAACUCCGUGCCAGCAGCCGCGGUAAUACGGAGGAUCCGAUCGUUAUCCGGAGUUAUUGGGUUGAAAGGGUGCGUAGGCGGUUUGAUAAGUUAGAGGUGAAAUGUCGGGGCUCAACCCCGAACCGUCCUCUAAUACUGUUGGACUAGAGCAUAGUUGCGCUAGGCGGACUGUCUGGUGUCGCGG
rnacentral:rRNA from 1 species